CAAUAGCGUAUAUUUAAGUUGUUGCAGUUAAAAAGCUCGUAGUUGGAUUUCGGAUGGGAUUUGCCGGUCCGUCGUUACGAUGUGCACUGGCCAGUCCUAUCUUGUUGUCGGGGACUAGCUCCUUGGAUUCACUUCCUGGGGCUAGGAGCUGACGAGGUUACUUUGAGUAAAUUAGAGUGUUCAAAGCAAGCCUACGCUCUGAAUACAUUAGCAUGGAAUAACACGAUAGGACUCUGGCUUAUCUUGUUGGUCUGUGAGACCAGAGUAAUGAUUAAGAGGGACAGUCGGGGACAUUCGUAUUUCAUUGUCAGAGGUGAAAUUCUUGGAUUUAUGAAAGACGAACUUCUGCGAAAGCAUUUGUCAAGGAUGUUUUCAUUAA
rnacentral:rRNA from 1 species